rnacentral:rRNA from 1 species
GGGACACGUGGUAUCCUGUCUGAAUAUGGGGGGACCAUCCUCCAAGGCUAAAUACUCCUGACUGACCGAUAGUGAACCAGUACCGUGAGGGAAAGGCGAAAAGAACCCCGGCGAGGGGAGUGAAAAAGAACCUGAAACCGUGUACGUACAAGCAGUGGGAGCACGCUUAGGCGUGUGACUGCGUACCUUUUGUAUAAUGGGUCAGCGACUUAUAUUCUGUAGCAAGGUUAACCGAAUAGGGGAGCCGAAGGGAAACCGAGUCUUAACUGGGCGUUAAGUUGCAGGGUAUAGACCCGAAACCCGGUGAUCUAGCCAUGGGCAGGUUGAAGGUUGGGUAACACUAACUGGAGGACCGAACCGACUAAUGUUGAAAAAUUAGCGGAUGACUUGUGGCUGGGGGUGAAAGGCCAAUCAAACCGGGAGAUAGCUGGUUCUCCCCGAAAGCUAUUUAGGUAGCGCCUCGUGAAC